rnacentral:rRNA from 1 species
CCCUUAGACGUUCUGGGCCGCACGCGCGCUACACUGACCAGUGCAACAAGCAUCCGUCCUUGGCCGACAGGCCCGGGCAAUCUUUGAACGCUGGUCGUGAUGGGGAUAGACUUUUGCAAUUUUUGGUCUUCAACGAGGAAUUCCUAGUAAACGCAAGUCAUCAGCUUGCGUUGAUUACGUCCCUGCCCUUUGUACACACCGCCCGUCGCUCCUACCGAUUGAAUGGUCCGGUGAAGCGUUCGGACCGUGGCCUUUGGACGGUUCGCCGUCUGUUGGCUGCGGGAAGUUCGUUAAACCUUAUCAUUUAGAGGAAGGAGAAGUCGUAACA